rnacentral:rRNA from 1 species
AUUAGAGGAAGUAAAAGUCGUAACAAGGUCUCCGUUGGUGAACCAGCGGAGGGAUCAUUACUGAGUUAUCAAAACUCCAAACCCUUUGUGAACCUUACCGUCGUUGCCUCGGCGUGAGCUACGGCUACCCUGUAACUACCCUGGAGCUACCCUAGAGUUACCCUAUAGCUACCCUGCACUUACCCUGCAGCUACCCUAUAGCUACCCUGGAGCUACCCUGGAGCUACCCUGUAGUCGGCUUCGGCCCGCCGAAGGACCGUUAAACUCUUGUUUUUACCACUGUUUCUCUGAAUUUUAAACUAAAAUAAGUUAAAACUUUCAACAACGGAUCUCUUGGUUCUGGCAUCGAUGAAGAACGCAGCGAAAUGCGAUAAGUAAUGUGAAUUGCAGAAUUCAGUGAAUCAUCGAAUCUUUGAACGCACAUUGCGCCCAUUAGUAUUCUAGUGGGCAUGCCUAUUCGAGCGUCAUUUCGACCCCUAAGCCCCUGUUGCUUAGCGUUGGGAAUCUACGGCGUAGUUCCUCAAAGUUAGUGGCGGAGUUAGGGUACACUCUCAGCGUAGUAAUUUCUCUCGCUCGUGUGGUGGCCCUGGCUGCUAGCCGUUAAAACCCCUAUAUUUUCUAGUGGUUGACCUCGGAUUAGGUAGGAAUACCCGCUGAACUUAAGCAUAUCAAUAA